rnacentral:rRNA from 1 species
CGAGAACGUCCCUUCGGGGGCUAGUAAAGUGGCGCACGGGUGAGUAUCACGUGGGUAAUCUACCUUACGGUGGGGGACGACAUCCCGAAAGGGGUGCUAAUACCGCAUACGUCCACUUCGGUGGGGAAAGGCGGCUUCGGCUGUCGCCGGAAGAUGAGCCCGCGGCCCAUCAGCUUGUUGGUAGGGUAAUGGCCUACCAAGGCUACGACGGGUAGCUGGUCUGAGAGGAUGAUCAGCCACACUGGAACUGAGACACGGUCCAGACUCCUACGGGAGGCAGCAGUGGGGAAUAUUGCGCAAUGGGGGCAACCCUGACGCAGCCAUGCCGCGUGUGUGAAGAAGGCCUACGGGUUGUAAAGCACUUUCAGUAGAGAAGAAAUGCUCAAGGUUAAUACCCUUGAGAGUUGACAUUACCUACAGAAGAAGCACCGGCUAACUCCGUGCCAGCAGCCGCGGUAAUACGGGGGGAGCGAGCGUUAUUCGGAUUCAUUGGGCGUAAAGGGUUCGUAGGCGGCCUGACAAGUCAGGGGUGAAAUCCAACAGCUUAACUGUUGACCUGCCUUUGAAACUGUCAGACUUGAGUACUGGAGAGGAAAGCGGAAUUCUUGGUGUAGCGGUGAAAUGCGUGGAUAUCAAGAGGAACACCCGUGGCGAAAGCGGCUUUCUGGCCAGAUACUGACGCUGAUGAACGAAAGCUAGGGGAGCGAACGGGAUUAGAUACCCCGGUAGUCCUAGCCGUAAACGAUGGGUGCUAGGUGUCGCGGGCUUUGACUCCUGCGGUGCCGUAGCUAACGCAUUAAG